rnacentral:misc_RNA from 1 species
CUUUUCCAUUGUUGCAGUAUAAAAUAGCACACCAUCCAAAUACUAGUUCAUCAAUUGGAGUAAAAAUAAGACAGAUACCAAACGUGUGUCAUUUAGUAUCAAAGAAAGAACUUUAUAAUGAUUUCACUCCGUAUUAAGUAACAGCUUAAUCAGCUAAAUUAUACAAGAACACAGAAAGCUGAAUUUCAUAAUUUUAGGCUAUGUUUAGUAAAUUGUAAUAUAAUCUAAUACAAUCAAAUUUUUUUGUUGAGAUUCAAUAGAAAAUUUGAUCAUAUUACAUUAUAUUUCGGCCUAUCAAACUCAGCAUUAAUUCGUUGGAAGUGCCAUAUCUUCACAUGAUCCAACAGUGUAAAAGACUUUUGUCAUUCCCUUCUUUGACCGCAUUUGAGAAACCUGAACAAUAUACAACCCACAUAAAAAAUAAAAAUAAGCACUGAAAUACGCGAUCCAUAUUUUAAUAUUCCAAGUCAGAAACAUACUUUCAGCCCUUCAUAUAAUAAAACUCCAUUGCAGUUGCAAAAAAUCAAUGAGUUUCAUAAUCUAAUCAUCACAAUUAUUUUAUUCCCCUUCUUUUCCCGUUCUAGUUAUUCUGAACAAGUUGUAUUCUUGUGUUGGGCACCACAAUUGUAUGCCAUUUUCAUUGUCCCAGAUGCAUAGGCAAACAUAAAUACUGAUGACCCAAAAUGUACAGAACAUCAGGGAUGAACACAUACACUCAAAAACAAUGAAACCAUGGUAUUCUAUAGAUGGUGGGAAAGAAAUAUAUAACACACACACAUAUCCUCAACAUGGAAUGCCAACUAUUAUAAAUAUACAAUCUAGAUGCUUAACAGUUGAAUCAGUUCACUUUACCUUCAUACUUAUGAUCUCUGAAAUGUCAGAAACAUGGGUACCACCACAAGGACAGCCAGGAAAGUUUCCUAACUUCACAAUGCGAGGAGUGCUGCCCUUGGGAAUAUAAUCAGGAAGGUAACCACCACACAAAGCAGAAGCUUCUUCAUAUGGCAAUACAGCAGCAGAAACUAUGCCUCCUGUAGAUAUUAACUCAUUGGCUUCUACCUCUAACUCUUUUUGCUUGUUUUGCAAUUCAUUUUGAGGAACUGUACCUUUAUAUUCAACGAAAGGCCCAUCUGGAAAAUGGUAGGCUUUUGCUGGUUCUAGAUGACCCAAUCCCACAUUCAGCAAGCAUCCAUCCAGCAAAUGCCCAGCUGAAUGCAACCUGAAUGAUAUGAAGAAAAUUGCAUAAAAGAAUGGGACAGACUAAGUGAAGAUAGCAAAUGAACAGUAAAAAAAUCGAGUCAUGUUAAGAACAGCACCCUCUCUAAUACAUAAUGAGCUUAACAUUAUUAAAAUCCCCUGUCAAAGUAGAGUGCCCACAAGUGAAAUGAUAGUUUUCAACAACAACCACCCUGCCCAUCCAACAAGAUAAUCUUUUUUUUAACAAUAAUCAAGCUAUAAUAAUAAAUAUAGUAUCAAUGUAAUUAGUGAUGAGUAGAAUCACUUCGUCAAAAUUAGAUUGUUUGUAACUGGGUGGAGUAGAAUUUUAAAACUCGAAAUAAAAUUAAGCUUACCUCAUCUUCGCUUACAUAGUUGCAGUUCUUGGUGAUCUUUCUCCUUCUUCAUUUAAAUUCCAAUAACAAAUUUUGGAUUCGAGAAGAAUUCUCUAACUUUAUCAAUUAUUCUAGAAAGCUUGUUCAGUUUCAGAGGCCAACUAUAUUCAAUAUCAAUAAUUAAGUUUGUUGCAAUAAAGUUCAAAACAUUUGUACCACAGGCUACUAAGAUUAAAGUCAUAUAAUCAAGGCAAAUUUAAGAGCAUCUUAAGUUAAUUAUAUAUUAAAAAGAAGGAAGUCCAAGUAAACUCCUGAAAAUUACUAUUUCAUAAAUAAUUAAAAUUUGACACACCUGGAAUUCAGCUUUCUCCUACACUCAUCAACAUGCAACAGAACUUCCCUCCCCUUCUCAAGGAAAUCCCUACCAGAAUCCUCCUCCUCCAUGACUCCGUAAUGAUAAACCUAUGAAAGCCCAAACAAAUAUUCAAGAAAUAAAAAAGAAGAAAAGAGGAAGACAAAUUUCAAAGAUAAUAGAGAAAGUUGCUACAAUUCCGUCCUUGGAUCUAACAUCUUGAACGAUGAAUUUAAAGUUGGAAUCAUCAGUAGCAGCGGUGAUGAAUCCAGUGUCCGCCGGCUGGCCUCCACCUUGAGGGUGAAAGAUCGUGGAGUCCAAUAUCAAAGCAAGCCUACCAUCGUCUCCCUAUCAAAUUCAGGGAAAAAAAAAAGGAAAAUGAGAUUACAGCUUAGCAAUUAAAGCUAAAAAGUAAGAGAUCAAUAAGGGAUGGAAGGAGCAGACUUUAGAGAAGGAAAUGAGAGUUGUUUUGGAUUGAAGUUUCCACAUAUCAUCAUAGUAUUCCAGUUUUGUUCUUGAGACGCUCGAAUCCAUGGAGUCUGUCACGGUCUUAACGACUUCAACACUAAUUUAGUCUUGGGGUGGGACUAAGUCAGCCUCUACCAAGUUAGUCCAACAGAUUAGAGACUAACAAGGGUGACGGAACUCUCAAGAAGGCGCUGGAGUUUCCUAGCACCCGCUAGGCCUGAUAGGCGAGGAGCGUGGGGGCGAGCACUCUAGAAUGGGAGAGAGAGUGCUGGCACCGGGUGGAAACUUGCAGCAGGGACUGGAGAGCUCCAGCAGGUUCCGAGCAUUAGGGGGACAGCUUGGUCAAAGAAGGUGUCAGAAGACGGCUUAGCUGCGGGAUUGACUCUCUCCUAAAACUCUGGUGUUAGUGGUGCUGAAUAUUUUGGUAGAGAAUUCUAGACUUGCUUGGGCAUCAUUCAAGUCCCUCCUUCCAGGAAGCUUCCUCGGGUGCAUAAUGUGGAGAAGGGAUUGACUCGCGCGGCAGCCCAGCAACGCAAGCCCAGCUUGCUUAGCUGAGGAAUUGGCCCAAUCUAACCUCGUUAGCUGCGAGAAUUGCCCCAGGCAAAGCAGAAAAUUUUGGAAUUUGAGGGAGCUCUUCAUAGAGGCGAGUCGCUGGCAAUGCUGAAAUAAUCUGC